AAUGAACGUUGGCGGCGUGGAUUAGGCAUGCAAGUCGAGCGAGAACCGGUUUCGGCCGGGGACAGCGGCGAACGGCGUAGUAAUGCAUCGGAACGUACCCUCUGGUCGGGGAUAGCUACGGGAAACUGUAGGUAAUACCCGAUGAUCUCUGCGGAGCAAAGGUGAGAUUCCGCCGGAGGAGCGGCUGAUGUGAUAUUAGCUAGUUGGUGGGGUAAUGGCCUACCAAGGCGAUGAUGUCUAGGGGGUGGGAGAGCAUGGCCCCCACGACCGGAACUGGGAGACUGUCCGGACACCUACGGGUGGCGGCAGUCGAGAAUCUUCCGCAAUGGACGAAAGUCUGACGGAGCGACGCCGCGUGCGGGAUGAAGGCCCUUGGGUUGUAAACCGCUGUCAGAGGGGAUGAAAUCUUCGGAGGUACUCCUCCGAAGUUGACAGAGCCUCAAAGGAAGCACGGGCUAAGUACGUGCCAGCAGCCGCCGUAACAC
rnacentral:rRNA from 1 species